rnacentral:lncRNA from 1 species
GCGAUUUAAAUCUGCUGGGCGGACCAGUGCACAAGGGAAGAACUGUGCCCGCCAGGGCCUAAAGGACGGUCGCCUAUGGUGAGGGGAGUGGGGCAUGGCCGCGGACCACCGGGGACUUCUUCCGCACCCGGACACCGAAGUUCGCAGACGAAGGCAGCACCGUGAGGCUAUCUUGCGCCCAUUUCUGAAGGAGAAAUAAGAUUUUUGGCUUCGGGGACAGACGAGGCACAGAGCCCAGCUACCGAAUCCAGUCGGGUUCCCGGAGAGGCGCCUCCAGGACAGGAAGACUGGACGGCGCGUCACUAUGGCGUCACGAGGACGCGCCAGCCCGCUCGGGGCCGCGCACGCGCUCCUGGUAGACGCUGAACGUGGAGCCGCGCUACCUGUGGCCUGGCUGCCUUUCCCGGUCCAAGCUCCCCAGCACGACCAGUUUAGCCACCAAUGUCCACCCUCCCGAGUCUCUGAUGGCGCCUCCCGGGACGACCAGCUCCUCACACCGAAAGCUUCCAAGGGCCUUCUGCGACUCCAGCUUGAGGGAACACACCUCAGCCGCUUGGCCUACCACGCCCUGCCUGGAGAUAGUUCCAUGUUCUCAUUGCCUUUCCGACCCUGCGUGACCCAUGUGCAUAUGCGGGGAGUAGAGGGAGGAAACGUCCUGUUCCUCUUAACUGAACUGCCCCCUCAGCUUUGUCCUCAGAUCCAGGCCCCCAGAUGGCAAAGACUGGAGCUACUUCCCUGUGUCCCUUCCACCCGUCCUGAGCUGGAGUCCCUGAUUACUGCUAAGUGAAGGAAGAAGAGUGACCAGUUGUCUCAGUUUUCCUGGGAUAAAGAACUUUCCCAAGAGGCAAGAUUUCAGUGCUAAACCUGAGAGAAUUCGAGGCAAACCUGGAACCUCUGGAGCCUGUGAAUGUAAACUUACUUGGAAAUAAGGUCUUUGCAGAUGUAAUGAAGAUAUAAAUGAAGAUAAGGCCCUACUGGAAUAGGAUGGGUCCUUGUAAAGAGAGACAGAGAGUGGGGAAUGCUGUUUCAGGACACGGAUACUCUGGGAGACUACCAUGGAAUAAGAGGUUGAGAUUAGAGUGAUGCAUCCACAAGCCAAGAACACCAAGAAUGACUGGGAAAACCAACAGCUAAGAGAAAGGCAUGGAGCCAGGUGUGGUGAUGCCCAGCACUCUGGGAGGCUGAGGCAAGAGGAUUGCAAGUUCAAGCUCAGCCUGGGCAAUUUAGCGACUUAGCAAGUCUGUCUCAAAAUAAAAAAUAAAAUAAACGAUCCCCGGUACCAAAAAUAAAAAUAAAAAAAAGAGGCUGGGGAUGUAGCUUAUUGUGAAGGCACUGGGUUAAAUCCCCAAUAUUGCUAAAAGAAGGAAAGAAAGAAAGAAAGAAAGAGAGACACAGAGAAAGAGAGGGGAAGGAAGGGAACAAAUUCUUCUUAGUUACUUCAGAGAGAACAGAGCCCUGUUGACACCUGAUUUGGGUACUUGGUACUUGGUUAAGGCAGAUCCAGGAAACUGACACCAGUUUCUUCACUCAUCUCCUAAGAGCACCUCCUGACAAACAAAUCAUUUGAACAAGAACUCCCUUCUUGGAACCUCGAGCCUGGCAGUUUGUACUAGGAGUGCAUCAUCUUGGGAAGCUGGCUCUAAGGAUGGAUUCAGGAUCACAAGCCAACUGGGGGGCAACGAGGAGGCCAUCACUGCUGUCAGGGGGAGGACUAGCAUAACCUAGCAUGGGUGACAAUGAAGAAUGUCAUCUGGGAGAAGUGACUUGGGAGGUGGGUAGAAGAGUGGUCAGUAACUGGUGCACUUGAGAAAUAGGAGGACACAGGAAGCAUAAGAGCUGUGGGAUCGAGUGGCUGGGCUAAGGACCAUUAAUUCCUUGAGGACGGGACAGGGCAGGUUCUGAUAUAAUAAUCAGCAGCAUAAACCUGAGUGUGGAUGUCAGGGCCCACCUGGCCCACUUCAGAGAUGCUGCAAGUGAAGAGCAGACAUGAAGAAAAAGGAGGCACUGCACUUAGCAGAACAUGGACAAGCUCCAGCAGGCAGGACCUCAACCUACUCAAGUUCUUGCAUCAAAGUCAGGGCUCCAAUGUGCCAGUUAUCCUGAUGAUCAUUUCACCUUAUAUAUUGAAAUGCCACACUGUACCCACAAUUAUGUACAAUUAUUAUCUGUCAAUUAAGUAUAUAUAAACAUAAAAAUUAAUUUUUAAAAUGUCAGGGGCCAGAUACUUUUUUUUUUGGUACUAGGGAUCAAACUUGGGUCCUUACACUUGCGCAGCAGGCGGCAAAACCACUGAGCUAAAUCCCCGGCCCAGAUGCUCUUAAGUGAAAUAAAUCAGACACACAUGUGUAAAUAUUGGAUUGUUUCUCUGAUGAAACCAAAAGCAUAAAUAAGGACCAAAAUGUAUAAUAGAUAUUGUGAAAUAGGAAGAAAAUAUUUAAAUGGGAAGGGGAGCUAGGGAGAGGGGAGCGGGAAAGGAAGAAAGGGAAAAGAAAAACAAGGAAAAAUGGAAGCAAAGCUUUUGUAAAUAAGGUGGAGAAGAGGGGUUGAAGGGAGAGGAGGGGAACGGAGAAAAAGAAGACUCAAGAUAUAUCAUGUACAGGUACAAACUCCCUAUGAUGAAUGUCAUCAUAGUGUAUAUGGAAAAUGUACCAAUAAACUUAAUUUUAAAAAUGUCCCGCAGAAGUCGCAAAAAAAAAAAAAAAAAAGUCAAGGGCCAGGCAUGGUGGUACCUGCCUGUAAUCCUAGCACUCUGGGGCUAGGGUAGGAGGAUCACAAGUUCAAGGCCAGCCUGGGCAAUUUAAUGAGACACUAUCAAAAAUUUUUAAAGGGCUGGGGAUAUGGGUAGUGGUAAAGCUCUUGCCUAGCAUGCCCAAGGGCCUGGGUUUAAUCCCCAGUCUGGGGGAGGAGAAAAAGUCAGGUCCCUAAUGAUGGAGUGGGAACCUGACAUCUGGGGUGGGGAUGUGUAGGUGUAUGCCUUUGAGCAUAGCUUUUCAUCACUGUAUUGAAAUGGUUGAAUUUUUUUAGAUGAUUCAAAACAUUGUAACCAUGGCAACAUGUUUAAUCCAUUUAACUUUUUUUCCAGUACUGGGGAUUUGAACCCGCUUCUUUGUGUAUGUUAAGCAAGUGCUCUACCUCUCAAAGAUAAUAUCCCCAGCCCUUUAUUUUUACUUUACUUUGAAACAAGGUCUCACUAAAUUGCCUAGGCUGAUCUCAAAUGUGAGAUUCUCCUUAGUAUCUGGGAUUAUAGAUAUGCACCACCACACCCAGAUUGAUCCACUUACAUUUAGCAUUGAUGCAGCUGAAUUUAGGUCUACCAUUUUGCUAGUUUUUCUCUUUCUCCUAUUUAUGUAUUUAUUCCUCAAUUCCUCUCUUCCUGCCUUCUCCAAAUUUCCUUCAAUGUAUUAAGUCCAUUUUAGUCUUUCUUUCUCUUUUCUUUUCCUUCCUUUCAUCUCUUUCUUUCUUUUUGCAAUACUGGGGAUUGAGCCCAGAGCCUUCUCACUGAGCUGUCUUGCCAGCCCUUUCUUUUUUUUUUUUUUUUUUUGGUACUGGGGAUCAAACUCAGGACCUUGUACCUGUCAGGUAGGCCCCGAGCCACUGAGCUUAAUCCCUGGCCCUCCCUUUCCUUUUUUAUUUUUUGAGACAGAGUCUUGCUAAAUUGUCUAGGCCUCUAGACACUAAAAAAGGCAAAAGACUAGAUUAUUUCACAGAGCCUUCAAGAAAAAAAUAUAGCCACUUAGCUGGACACAAUGGCACACAUCUGUAAUCCCAGCUACUCAGGAGGCUGAGGCAAGAAUGUCAAAAAUUUCGAGCCCAGCCUGGGUGUUAUGGCUUCUAUCAAGAUGUCCCCCAAGCUGCAUAUGGUCAUAGGUGGAGCUUUUCAGAGGUGGCUGGAUCUAGGGUAUGUGAUGCUGGGAUUAAGUGUGUGAUGCUGGGACCAAGGUGUGUGAUUCCUAAAUCAGUCCACUGAUUGGUUUGGCAUAGUUCUGGUAAUGGGAAGGCCCACCUUAGGUGUGAGUGCUACCUGCCCUAAGGGUGUGUAGCCUGGAUAGAAUAUAAGGGACAGAAAGAAGGCUGCUAUGAUUCAUUUGCUGCUUUGCUGCCUUCUGCCUACAAGAACUAUUUCUCUUCUGUGAUGCCCCUUUGCCAUGCCACCCUGCCUUGGAGCCAGUCGAUUAUGGACUGAAACCACUACAAACUGUGAGCUGAAAUAAACUCUUUUUCUUUAACUUUGGGUGCUGGAUAUUUUGUCUCAGAAAUGAGAAAAGUAAGUAAGACACUGGGCAGUUUAGCAAGACCCUAUAUCAAAAUUUUAAAAACAGAACAAAAAAAAAAGAACUGGAGGUAUAGCUCAAUGGUAAAGUGCUUGCGUAACAUAAGAGAGGCCCUGAGUCCAAUACUUACCAUCACAGGGGCUGGGGAUUUAGCUCAGUGGUUUCGCCGCCUGCUGCACAAGCACAAGGACCUGAGUUUGAUCCCCAGUACCAAAAAAAAAAAAAAAAAGUGGUUUAUAUUGUGCUCGCUUCGGCAGCACAUAUACCAAUACUUACCAUCACAGGUAGGAGGGAAAGAAAGAAGAAAGGAAGGAAGGAAGGAAGGAAGGAAGGAAGGAAGGAAGGAAGAGGGGAGGGGAGGGGAAGGAGAAAGACCAGGCAUGGUGACACACACCUGUAAUUGCAGCACUUGGGAGACUGAGGCAGGAGGAUCACCUUGACUUAAAGGCCAGGCUGGACUACAGGGAAGGACAUAGAGGCUGGGCAUGGUGGGACAUACCUAUAAUCCCAGCUACUACAGACUGCUGCAGACCUCUUUCCUGCCCUUGGCUCUACCCAAAAAUCCCUUGUAGCAUGAUUCCCAAGUUUUCUGAUGCCUCCAAAGCACAAAGACACCUCUUGAAUUGCAUUCUUUCUUAGUAGCAGGCAGACAGGGUACAGUAAAUUGCCCUUUACUUUGGAGAGGAUAGCCCAGCGUGCCCCAGACCUCUGGGCUCUUAGAAUCUUGGUUUAUGUUUCUUUUAUUAUUGUUAUUCAGUACUAGGAUUGAACCGGGGGAGCACUGAGCUACAUCC